rfam:Hordeum vulgare subsp. vulgare, WGS project CAJW01000000 data, contig: morex_contig_1593190
CUCAUACCCCUCCGUCCCAAAAAAUUUGUCUUAGAUUUGUGUAGAUAUGAAUGUAUCUAGUCACGUUUUAGUAUUUUAAUACAUUCAUUUUUAGAUAAUUGUAAGACAAGAAUUUUGAAACGUAGGGAGUAUUUA